AUUGAACGCUGGCGGCAGGCUUAACACAUGCAAGUCGAGCGGAGAGAGGUAGCUUGCUACUGAUCUUAGCGGCGGACGGGUGAGUAAUGCUUAGGAAUCUGCCUAUUAGUGGGGGACAACAUUUCGAAAGGAAUGCUCAUACCGCAUACGUCCUACGGGAGAAAGCAGGGGAUCUUCGGACCUUGCGCUAAUAGAUGAGCCUAAGUCGGAUUAGCUAGUUGGUGGGGUAAAGGCCUACCAAGGCGACGAUCUGUAGCGGGUCUGAGAGGAUGAUCCGCCACACUGGGACUGGGACACGGCCCAGACUCCUACGGGAGGCAGCAGUGGGGAAUAUUGGACAAUGGGCGCAAGCCUGAUCCAGCCAUGCCGCGUGUGAAGAAGGCCUUAUGGUUGUAAAGCACUUUAAGCGAGGAGGAGGCUACUGAGACUAAUACUCUUGGAUAGUGGACGUUACUCGCAGAAUAAGCACCGGCUAACUCUGUGCCAGCCGCCGCAGUAACAC
rnacentral:rRNA from 1 species